rnacentral:rRNA from 1 species
AGGACUAACGCUGGCGGCGUGCCUAACACAUGCAAGUCGAACGGGGGUAGCAAUACCCCAGUGGCAGACGGGUGAGUAACACGUGGUCAACCUACCUCUGUGUGGGGGAUAACUAGCCGAAAGGUUAGCUAAUACCGCAUACGAUCGUUUUGAGGCAUCUCGAGACGAUGAAAGGAGCAAUCCGCACGGAGAGGGGACUGCGUCCCAUUAGUUAGUUGGUGGGGUAACGGCCUACCAAGACUCCGAUGGGUAGCUGGCUUGAGAGAGCGACCAGCCACACUGGAACUGAGACACGGUCCAGACUCCUACGGGAGGCAGCAGUGAGGAAUUUUCCGCAAUGGGCGAAAGCCUGACGGAGCGACGCCGCGUGUGGGAUGAAGGCCUUCGGGUCGUAAACCACUGUCGAAGGGGACGAUAUUGACGGUACCCUUGGAGGAAGCCCCGGCUAACUACGUGCCAGCAGCCGC